rnacentral:rRNA from 1 species
AGGGAAUAGAUACCCGGGUAGUCCUGGCCCUAAACGAUGUCCACUAGAUUACGGCGCCUUUGACGGCGUCGUGGUCGAAAGCAAAAAAAGUGUUAAAGUGGACCGCCUGGGAAGUACGGUCGCAAGGCUAAAACUCAAAGGAAUUGACGGGGCGUCACACAAGCGGUGGAGCAUGUGGUUUAAUUCGAAAGCAACGCGCAGAACCUUACCUGGGCGUUGACAUGCUAGGAUUAUCCCGGUGAAAGCCGGGUAGGCCCGCAAGGGUACAACUAGUACAGGUGCUGCAUGGCUGUCGUCAGCUCGUGUCGUGAGAUGUCGGG